GCACAACAUACCGAUGGCGCCUCAACCGCACCCUGCUGGUGACACAUAGCGGGAACACCCACGAGAUUCAUGACCUCCAGGGAGCACUGGACUUGCUACCCAUACUGGGACUACCUCUAGAUGCCAUACGUACCACGACAACCUCCGAGACCACCAAACCAAGGCACAGGUGGAACCUGGAAAGGGUGAAAACUUUCCCCCCGUCUGCCCUAAGCGGAAACAAGAUUGCACAUCACCCUAAACGGCAGACAGACGGGGUUACAACACACCCAGUACCUAGAUACCUCCCAAGCUAUAUAAUUAUCUAAUGAUAACAGAGGGAAGAGAACACCACAGAACGAUACACUGCAUUACUUAGCCCAACACCUCUCGAACAGCUGAUUAAAGCAUAGGCGGAUUAACCCCACAGCACACAUACUAACAGAGCAGACAACACCAACUAGCUUGACACACGCCAGAUAUCAUAAGGCCUCUCCAAAGCCAUUGUCAGGACCGUAUCUUUCAUACACAUUGGCCACUCUACGGCUAUUAUCAUUACCCUGCUACAAC